CAGAGGUCCCAAGCGUUGUUCGGAUUCACUGGGCGUAAAGGGUGCGUAGGCGGUCGGGUAAGUCUGAUGUGAAAUCUCACAGCUUAACUGUGAAACUGCAUUGGAUACUAUCCGGCUUGAGGAAUGGAGGGGAGACUGGAAUACUUGGUGUAGCAGUGAAAUGCGUAGAUAUCAAGUGGAACACCAGUGGCGAAGGCGAGUCUCUGGACAUUUCCUGACGCUGAGGCACGAAAGCCAGGGGAGCAAACGGGACUAGAUACCCCGGUAGUCCUGGCCCUAAACGGUGCGCAUUUGCUGUGAGUGGAAUCGACCCCGCUCGUGGCGAAGCUAACGCGUUAAAUGCGCCGCCUGGGAAAUACGGCCGCAAGGUUA
rnacentral:rRNA from 1 species